UACGGAGGUGGCAAGCGUUGUUCGGAAUUAUUGGGCGUAAAGGGCGCGCAGGCGGCUACGCACGUCCGUUGUGAAAUCGCCCGGCUCAACUGGGCGGGGUCAGCGGAUACGGCGUAGCUGGAGCAAGCUAGGGGGCAAUGGAAUUCCCGGUGUAGUGGUGGAAUGCGUAGAUAUCGGGAGGAACACCAGUGGCGAAAGCGGCUCUCUGGGGGCGAUCUGACGCUGAGGCGCGAAAGCGUGGGGAGCAAACCGG
rnacentral:rRNA from 1 species